rnacentral:rRNA from 1 species
CCUACGGGUGGCUGCAGUAGGGAAUAUUGGGCAAUGGUCGCAGGACUGACCCAGCCAUGCCGCGUGAAGGAAGAAGGUGUUUUGCAUUGUAAACUUCUUUAGCAAGGGAAGAAUGGCCCACACGGGAUGUGGGAGAUGACGGUACCUUGAGAAUAAGCACCGGCUAACUCCGUGCCAGCAGCCGCGGUAAUACGGGGGGUGCAAGCGUUGUCCGGAUUCAUUGGGUUUAAAGGGUGCGCAGGCGGCAGAUUAAGUCAGUGUUAAAAGACCGGGGC